GAGUUUGAUCAUGGCUCAGAUUGAACGCUGGCGGCAGGCCUAACACAUGCAAGUCGAACGGUAACAGGAAACAGCUUGCUGUUUCGCUGACGAGUGGCGGACGGGUGAGUAAUGUCUGGGAAACUGCCUGAUGGAGGGGGAUAACUACUGGAAACGGUAGCUAAUACCGCAUAACGUCGCAAGACCAAAGAGGGGGACCUUCGGGCCUCUUGCCAUCAGAUGUGCCCAGAUGGGAUUAGCUAGUAGGUGGGGUAACGGCUCACCUAGGCGACGAUCCCUAGCUGGUCUGAGAGGAUGACCAGCCACACUGGAACUGAGACACGGUCCAGACUCCUACGGGAGGCAGCAGUGGGGAAUAUUGCACAAUGGGCGCAAGCCUGAUGCAGCCAUGCCGCGUGUAUGAAGAAGGCCUUCGGGUUGUAAAGUACUUUCAGCGGGGAGGAAGGGAGUAAAGUUAAUACCUUUGCUCAUUGACGUUACCCGCAGAAGAAGCACCGGCUAACUCCGUGCCAGCAGCCGCGGUAAUACGGAGGGUGCAAGCGUUAAUCGGAAUUACUGGGCGUAAAGCGCACGCAGGCGGUUUGUUAAGUCAGAUGUGAAAUCCCCGGGCUCAACCUGGGAACUGCAUCUGAUACUGGCAAGCUUGAGUCUCGUAGAGGGGGGUAGAAUUCCAGGUGUAGCGGUGAAAUGCGUAGAGAUCUGGAGGAAUACCGGUGGCGAAGGCGGCCCCCUGGACGAAGACUGACGCUCAGGUGCGAAAGCGUGGGGAGCAAACAGGAUUAGAUACCCUGGUAGUCCACGCCGUAAACGAUGUCGACUUGGAGGUUGUGCCCUUGAGGCGUGGCUUCCGGAGCUAACGCGUUAAGUCGACCGCCUGGGGAGUACGGCCGCAAGGUUAAAACUCAAAUGAAUUGACGGGGGCCCGCACAAGCGGUGGAGCAUGUGGUUUAAUUCGAUGCAACGCGAAGAACCUUACCUGGUCUUGACAUCCACGGAAGUUUUCAGAGAUGAGAAUGUGCCUUCGGGAACCGUGAGACAGGUGCUGCAUGGCUGUCGUCAGCUCGUGUUGUGAAAUGUUGGGUUAAGUCCCGCAACGAGCGCAACCCUUAUCCUUUGUUGCCAGCGGUCCGGCCGGGAACUCAAAGGAGACUGCCAGUGAUAAACUGGAGGAAGGUGGGGAUGACGUCAAGUCAUCAUGCCCCUUACGACCAGGGCUACACACGUGCUACAAUGGCGCAUACAAAGAGAAGCGACCUCGCGAGAGCAAGCGGACCUCAUAAAGUGCGUCGUAGUCCGGAUUGGAGUCUGCAACUCGACUCCAUGAAGUCGGAAUCGCUAGUAAUCGUGGAUCAGAAUGCCACGGUGAAUACGUUCCCGGGCCUUGUACACACCGCCCGUCACACCAUGGGAGUGGGUUGCAAAAGAAGUAGGUAGCCUAACCUUCGGGAGGGCGCUUACCACUUUGUGAUUCAUGACUGGGGUGAAGUCGAAACAGGGUAACCGUAGGGGAACCUGCGGUUG
rnacentral:rRNA from 1 species